GGCCCCGAUGUCGUGAGCUUUGGUCUUGGAAGAAACCACAACCCCAAAGCUCGAGUGGAAACCUCCAUCGCCUUCCAGGCAAGAUUUUCCUAUUCUUCUAUCGGACGAUGCGGACUACCCACCACUUCCACCACGGAAGAGAUGCAAGAGGCAGGUCGAUCAUCCAAAUGGAGGAGGAGAAAGAAGAACUCUCACGGCU
rnacentral:lncRNA from 1 species